ensembl:snoRNA small nucleolar RNA SNORD35
GGUUCAACAAAAUAUUCUAAUUUCGUCUUCGGAUGCCACCGAUUGGCAGUGCCGAUAAUGCCACAGGCUCAGCUGAUGCCAGUAG